GAAGUGAUGUAACAGAAUUUUUGUUCGUUAUUAAAUGGCCGCGUUGCGUUGUGACUGUUGUCCGAUCUGAGUAUUACGGCCUCUCGUGUUGAAUUCCAAGCUGGGGGAAGGAUGAAACGAAAAGUGGUUAAACUGAAAAGUCUUCGUCUUAGUCCAAAUGAAGAGGCAGUUUUGAUACAAGAAGAGCAUGAGAGAAGACGAAGGUUAAGAAUAAAGCAGGUCAGAGAGCAGGAGCGUUCUAUUGCUGUUCAGAUCCGAGAGGAGAUAAAACAUCGUCGUAAUCAACAGCUUGAGCAACUAGCAAUUGAGUUGAAGGCUGAAUGGCAGAUGGCACAAAUGGAGAAAGCACAGCUUCUAGAGAGGCUUUAUGUCUCUAGUUUGAAGGCAGUGGGUGAAGGACAUAGACAAGCGAAAGAAAAUGAACCAGAUUUGAAAGCUUGCUCAAAACUGGCAGCUGUCAACAGAGAAAAAGCUGAGAAAAGGCAUAGAGAAGCACUGAGGGAGUUGAAUCAGCAAAAGAAUAAAGAUCAUGAAGUUCAAAAUAGGUAUGUCAAAACACGCAAAAAAGCACUACUCAUAGAGAAAAAAAGAGCAUUAAAGAUUGCACGUCUUCCGCCACCUCCACCAAACCCCUUUGCAGAUCUUGAAGUGCAAAACUAUCCAGCAGUGAAGAUGUAUGAUAUUGACAGCUUCUCUGUGACACGCUACCAUUUGUCUGAACCUUGUGUGGACCGAGAAAGUGAUACACAACAGCUUAGUGCUGAACUGACUGCUCAAGAGGAAGCAGAGCGCUUGGAGGAUUUGCAACAAGAAGCUGAGGUGGACCGCCUGGAGCAGUUGGAGAAAGCUAGAUUGCGAGGCAACCGUGCUCUCCAACUAGUGCAUUUAAUACAGGAUAGAGAGAAACUGGUGAAGGAACUUGGAGAAAUGCAACAAGCUGAUCUGGCCCGUAGAAGGCAUACUGUAGCUCAGAUGCCACCCCGAUUGUUUGAGCCACCGUAUAGAUAUGUGCAAGUAAAAGAGGAUCGGCAGAGGGAGAUGGAAUUUGCUUUUGAGGAUAUGUAUGCUGAUGAUAAAAAAGUCAGAGGUGACUUAAUACUGCAACUUGAGCAUGAACCUUUACCAGCCUCAACCAACGGAGCACAAGGUGAAGAUUUGGACCUCUCAGUAGAGCCAGAUGGCUUUCAAAAGGAAGAGCAAUGUGAAAGUGCUACCCAGGAAGAUCCAUCAACACUACACUUGCGUAAUAUCCAAGAUCUACAGUUGGUAGCAGCCACUCAGCCCUCUGCAUGCCCAACUAAGGCAGCCUUGGAGAAACUGUUUACCAAGAUAAAGAUACAGAGAGACUCUUGUUCCAAACCUGAACCGAAGUAUAUAAACAAAGAUAUGACCAUUGAGUCUGGUUCAAUUACCAGUGAAAAAAAUGAUCAAAGAACUUUGACAAAACCCACAGCUGACAAUUUAAGUGAAGAACAUCUAGAAAUAUUGCCAGUGCUGAUUCAAGCCAAUAAACAGCAAAACAAAGUACCUGAAGAUGCCAUAAAGGCUGGAAGUGCAACAUUGAGUCAUCCAAAAGAACAAGCAAGUGGAACUAGAUCUGAAAUAGACAGAAGGAAACAAUUGCAGCAUCACAAGCACUUUCUGUCAAAUGUGCCAUCCGCAGACAAUGAACGUAUGGGUAUGAUUCAUCGGUAUCAGCAGCACCUUAUUGAACAAAACAGGUUGCAUGAAACUUCACUGGAAGAAAUCAGGAAGCAACUGGAUGAGUACCAGUUGAAACAAGGAUGGCCUUUUGUUUCUACUACAGCAAGACACUUGGCCGAACAGCAGUUGCCAUCUCAGAUGAACCAUUACAACAAAUCCAGUGGAUCCGAAGUCUGGGUUGAUGUGACGAGAUUUAAGCCUGGAGAGACUUGUGUCCUUUCUGCUCAAUAUCCUAGCUUUGAGAAUCAAUCUAGAGCUCGGUGUCAGAGCCAACCUACAAUUGUACCAUUUGUUCACUUACAACAGACCGAAUUACCAUACAAGAUCACUGGUCAAUCACCACAAGUUAGUCAAGGGACACAUGUGCCAGUUGGCACUAUUUGCUUAUCUGAGGGUUCAGAAAAUGCCUCUGUAUUUUCACUGAGGCACCAAGUUUUAAAAAAUUCUACUUUAUUCAAUGUAGCAUUGCUCAAAACUACCCAGCAAGAUACUGCAACUCCUGAGUCCACAGUUACACAACAAAGAGAUCAGGUGGAUGCUGGAUCAAAUUGUUCUGGAGGUCCUGACAAUGUUAAUUUAAACCAGUCUGCAUAUAAUGUUAGCACUAGUGAAUCUGAUUUUCCAAAAUCUAAAAAAUAUAAUGCGCCUGACAGUGUACUUGAAGUGAAUAGUGUGGAGGUAUCAGAACCUUGUGCUACAACUUCAGGCACAGUUGAGCCACAACAGGACUUGAACACUGGACGAAUCAAGGAGAAUUUCCAAUUAAAAAAGGAAGAUCAGCUGAAAGAUCUAGAGCCAACAGCUCUAUUAAAUGGGACAUCAAAUCCUGUGUUAUCCUAUGAUUCCAAAUCGAUACAAACUGGAAGUUAUUUCUCAGCAUCUCGAAAUGGUGGAGCUCUCACAAGGGAUGAUCAACAUUGGGGAACUUCUAAACCACCUGUAACCAACAGAAGGCUGGGACAUUUUGGACUGUUUGACCAGCACGAAUUAAGUGUAAUCCAGGAAGGAGAAUCCCCUAAAAGUGACAGACAGUCUCUAUUUGAUUUAUCAAGAGUAUCAACAAGCAGCUGCCGUCAAAUGUCAAGUAUUGCAAGUAGCACUGUAGACUCCAUUCCAACGAGCAGACUGACUUGGAGAGACAAACUGAAAUUGGAGACUAGCCAUCUCCCAGGACAAGGUUUCACUCAUGUUGAAAGCACUACGCUUGAGUUUGCUGGCCCAACAUGUUGUGCAGCUAGUAAGGUAUUAUUUCCUUAUUCUUGCUCUGGUGACAUUAAAAAAACUCCUGAGGAAUGUCAACUAUCUUCCACCACGCUAUCCACUGGGAGUUUAACUUCAAGUGAUCCAACGGAUAUUGGUCCUCUCAGUUCAGGUGAUCAUUCCUCCACUGCUCAUGAUAUCAUGACUGGACAGUCAACUCCUCCCUCGACGACUUCACCUUCAUUCUCUGUGAACAAGGACACAGCUGAAAAUCAAGACAUUGAACAUUGUGGUCCCAGUUUAGAGGAAUGCAUUUCAACAGGAAGAAAAAUUCAGCAGGUAGUAGAGAAGUAUACUAGAAACCUAAACCAUUUGCUUAAUUCGAGUGGAAAGAAUCAGGACCCUGCAACUGUUCAUCAUACUUCCAUCCGAGGAGUUCCUAAUUUCCACGUUGAGCUACAGUCUUCCCAACCAGAUUCAGAUCUAGAAUUUCAGCCUUUGGAGACCAGACCUGAUUUUGGUGUUUCAAGUACUUCAUUGUCUUCUACCUCUAACAAGAAUUCAAAUGCCCUUGAUACUGAUAGCAACACACACAAUCAACAUUCUAAUCCAGGCGUCAAUCAAGUCCAGGCACCAAUCAAGUUCUUCACCGACAGUAUUGAAUCCACUCCUGACCAUGGAAGUGGAGUUUGCAAUACAAGUCAAAGGAACAAGUACAUUCAGCAAGAUUAUGAUUUUGAAUAUGGUAGGUUGAAAACUUUUCAAUCACUUCGACUGGAAAUUAGUUCAAACAAAUACAGUUUAGACACUGGUUCCAGAGAAAAUGUCAUGUGCAACAGACUUUCAGAACAAGGAUUUAAUAAUGGUGCCUCCUCAAUUAACUGCGUACAUCUUCCUCCAUUGGAUCUUAUAAGACCAGAAACAGUAGCUCCUGCUUCACAGAUUCUUGAAUCCAUAGACCAGUUGAUUUGUUCUGAUUCAUUGACUGAAAAUUUACAAGGACAUGUAAGAGAAAAUACUCAGGAAUGUUUCUCGCAGCUACAUGCAACGCAAAGUUCAGAAAAUGAUCACAACUGUGACACUUCUGAUCAAAAUGGAAAAUAUCUAGAGGUUUGUGGAAGCAUAACUUCACAUGCUGUCGCUUUUACCAAGCUUAUAAAAUCCAAAAAGGUAAAUGAAGUGAAUUUGAAUGAUCAAUCUACUGAACUCUGUAAUGUAAUAUCAUCAAGGAGAAAGAAUUGCAUUGGAAGUGAAGUGCCCCAUUUCUCAGAGCAGAAUCACAUAGUGCCAUCUGGUCAGUUAUCUCACGCAAAAACUCAAAUUGCUGCCAGACUUGAGUUUGAGACUGAACAGGAUCAGCCACUGUCAUCAAACCUUAUAUCAGAAGUUUUCACAUUGCAGAGUAUUAUACCAGCAAGGGAAAUUGGAUCAAAUCUUGGGAUUAUGGAAGAACCUGAACUCUCUCAACUGUCAAUGAAUAAUUCAACUUUAAUAGAUGAAGAACUAAGACAGGAUUCUCCAAUAGAAGACAUAACAUGUCAGAAUGAAUUCCAAACAUUUACUCGGGCAAAUGAGUUGCAGCCUUCGAAGCUUAAAACCACAGAUCAUGCAAUUUCUACCUCGCAUCACUUAGGAGUUGCAGACCACAAAAUAAAUCACACAGCAUCUUCAUUUCAAAAGUCUCCAACAGCUAUGGUAUUUCAGUUUGACUCACCUCCUAAGAUUUUGAAUGAAGUAGUUCUGAAGAAAAAACAUAAAUUUCUUGUAAAUUCUGCAAAACGAGUGGAGGAUAUGAAAAGAAAAGGAAGAUCUGGAAAAGCUAAUUCUGAACUGCUGGGAAAAAAAAAGUCAUUGAAACAAGAACAACUCUCUGUGUUUGCAGCAUCGCCUGUAGCAGCUCACUUGAAGGCGGUUGGGCAAGUGAAAGUCUCUACUCCUGAAGAUAGAAGAUCUGCUGAAGUAGAGAUGCGAAAAAGAACAUUCUGAUAUUUUUGUCAGCAUCCUGUUCCUUUGUAAACACAAGAAUACGUAUUCAAGUGAACCAGUCUUGCUGCCUGACUCUAAGCAUGUGUUAUGCUCCUAGACGUGUAUUUGUUUCUAUUAGAUGGUGCAAUAACUUUUUACCCACUUACUGUUUACCUGCUAUUGAAAGAUGUUUGGGUUCCCUCUUUUCUGUUAACACCGUGUUCUCUUUUUUUCUCUUUGCCCAUCAUAUUUUCUUCUUCAUCUCUCCUCUGAACUUAAUUUAUUUGGCCUGAUUUUCACUGAAAGAAGUCAUCUGAUGUCCAUCGUGCACUUUAGUUUUUGAUUUCAUCAUCUCUCUCCCUCAACCAAAGUCGGGCUUCUUUGAUAACUUGCCUUUGUUUGGAAUGCACUCAACCCAACUUUUCCAUGUCAAUUUGUUUCCUGGUAAUAUCUGCUUUUUUUCUAGUUUGAAGUUUGCCUUAUCCAAUUUAGACAUUCUUAAUUACUUUUUUUUCCUGCAGAAUGAUUAUUGUUACCCACAUUUUUCCCCACAGACUCGUAGUCCACUUGGCCCUGCUCAAUUCUCUGCACGAGAUCUAGCAAUGCUUGCUUUCUGUUUGGAUAGAGAAUGUGCCUAUUGAAGAUGCUCUCCUAAAUGUAUUUCAGUAUCCUAAUCAAUACUUAAGUAACUAAUGUCCGCUUGUAGUGCCUCUGCAUAGUUCUUGCACGUCUGAUUUUCCUGCAGAUUUGCUGAUCAUUUUCAUUCUUUUUAGAGACCUAUAAAAUAUCCCCAAUUAAAAUACAACGGUGUCCUCUCAAAUUCCUUCUGAAACCCCAAUGGCAUGUAGUCAGCCUGACCUUAUUCACGAUCAUCUUUCAUAUGAUGCUGCUGUAGGCAAUGACCUUAUAGACUUUAAGGAGGGAUUCACAUACACUUCUGAACUGAUGGAGGGCUUUUCAGCUUCAUACAAAGACACAGAAAAACUCAUUCAUUAACAACUUUUUGCCAGUGCUUGUGCUCAUCCAGUGUAGCAUGCUUUCCAAACUGACUGCUUAGGACUAAAAAGCAGUUUCAUGAAAACUGAAUUCCUACAUCAUCCUGCGCUCCAAGAACAUAAACCACCAAACAUUGUCCUCAAGGGACCAAAGUUGAAUGCUGUCAACUAAUUUUAUUUGUUUGGGGAGUGUUUGUUUGAGGGGUGUCAUCUCAUUUGAUGCUACCUUGGAUAAGGACGUGGACAAUAGGCUUUCUAAAGCAAAGGCACAUUUUGAAGACUUUAUAAAUGUGCACGGAGCAUCCAUGUUUUCAGCACAAAUCAUACAAAGCCAUACUUCUCACCACCCUUCUGUAUUUUGCUGCGAUUGGUUCCUGUACCAAGAAUACGCUCACUUUCUGGAACACUUCCAUCAGCCUUGCCUCCACAGUAUCCUCAGUAUCUGCUGGCAGGACUGUAACAAAGUCAUUAAAAUCCUGGAAACCGCCAACAUCCUAACCACCUGGGGCAAUCAUUGUGUCUACUGCCAACUUGAUGAGGUGAACAACAGGAAAAAAGAAGUGACCAGACAAAUAGUGUGUGCCAAAAAUCGUGAAAAAGCAAAAGAAUUCCAAAAG